rnacentral:rRNA from 1 species
AUUGAACGCUGGCGGCAGGCCUAACACAUGCAAGUCGAACGGUAACAGGAAGCAGCUUGCUGCUUCGCUGACGAGUGGCGGACGGGUGAGUAAUGUCUGGGAAACUGCCUGAUGGAGGGGGAUAACUACUGGAAACGGUAGCUAAUACCGCAUAACGUCGCAAGACCAAAGAGGGGGACCUUAGGGCCUCUGCCAUCGGAUGUGCCCAGAUGGGAUUAGCUAGUAGGUGGGGUAACGGCUCACCUAGGCGACGAUCCCUAGCUGGUCUGAGAGGAUGACCAGCCACACUGGAACUGAGACACGGUCCAGACUCCUACGGGAGGCAGCAGUGGGGAAUAUUGCACAAUGGGCGCAAGCCUGAUGCAGCCAUGCCGCGUGUAUGAAGAAGGCCUUCGGGUUGUAAAGUACUUUCAGCGGGGAGGAAGGGAGUAAAGUUAAUACCUUUGCUCAUUGACGUUACCCGCAGAAGAAGCACCGGCUAACUCCGUG